GAUGAACGCUAGCGAUAGGCUUAACACAUGCAAGUCGAGGGACCGGCGCACGGGUGCGUAACGCGUAUGCCACUUGCCUCACAGAGGGGGAUAACCCGACGAAAGACGGACUACUACCGCGUACUGUGAGAUAGGCAUGCGUCCCAUUAGCUAGUUGGUGAGGUAACGGCUCACCAAGGCAACGAUGGGGAGGGGAACUGAGAGGUUGAACCCCCACACUGGUGUUGAGACACGGACCAGACUCCUACGGGAGGCAGGAGUGAGGAAUAUUGGUCAAUGGGCGAGAGCCUGAACCAGCCAAGUCGCGUGAAGGAUGACUGGCUAUGGAUUGUAAACUUCUUUUGUAGGGGAAUAUGUACCCUACGAAUAAGCAUCGGCUAACUCCGUGCCAGCAGCCGCGGUAAUAC
rnacentral:rRNA from 1 species